rnacentral:rRNA from 1 species
UACGGAGGGUGCAAGCGUUAUCCGGAUUCACUGGGUUUAAAGGGUGCGUAGGCGGGCAGGUAAGUCCGUGGUGAAAUCUCUGAGCUUAACUCAGAAACUGCCAUGGAUACUAUUUGUCUUGAAUGUUGUGGAGGUAAGCGGAAUAUGUCAUGUAGCGGUGAAAUGCUUAGAUAUGACAUAGAACACCAAUUGCGAAAGGCAGCUUACUACACAAAUAAUUGACGCUGAGGCACGAAAGCGUGGGGAUCAAACAGG